rnacentral:lncRNA from 1 species
AUGUUCAGUUACUUAUAUAUUGCAUUGCUAUCUCCUUUCGUAUUACUAUGCCUUAUUGGACCUAGUGGAAAAAUCGGCAAGGUUGGCAGCCGAAUCGACUGGGAACUUCUUUUAGUUCUCACCCUCUGUUGCAGAGCCACCAUUCGCGGGGAGGCACCGAAUCGAGGCGUGGGCGUUGCGCCCUAGAUAGCAGCGUCACCCAGUUUAGGUCGCCCUAUGUAUAAGCAAGAAUGUAAAUGUAAUUUUAGAAAUGGGAAUGUAAUUAUAUUUGGAGGAAUCAUUCAUGUAUUAAUGUAAAGUGGAAUUGUAUGUAAAAUGUGAAUGUUCCAAUGUUGUAAUAGUUAGGUUUACAUUCUCGCUCUUGUGAUAUGCCCUCGUGCAAAAUUGUAUUGUAUUGUUUUUCCCAUGUGAAAUUCAAUGUACUUGUUUUGCUGAGCCUUAGACGGAUAGGGGAGGCUCUGUCUGUUCAGCG